GACAGAGGGUGCAAACGUUGCUCGGAAUUACUGGGCGUAAAGGGCUCGUAGGUGGCCAACUAAGUCAGACGUGAAAUCCCUCAGCUUAACUGGGGAACUGCGUCUGAUACUGGAUGGCUUGAGUUUGGGAGAGGGAUGCGGAAUUCCAGGUGUAGCGGUGAAAUGCGUAGAUAUCUGGAGGAACACCGGUGGCGAAGGCGGCAUCCUGGACCGACACUGACGCUGAGGAGCGAAAGCCAGGGGAGCAAACGGG
rnacentral:rRNA from 1 species